CUUCUCUCUCACAACUCAGAUGUCACAAAACUCCAUAUCUUCUCUCUCUCUCUCUCUCGCUCUACGACUCAAGAACAUCAUGCCAGAUCUCUCAUCAGAUGCCGUUUCAUGACAAGAUCGUUGAAGUGGUUCCGACACCUGAGCUCUGGUGGAGGAGACUAGGAUUUCGGCGAAGAUAAAGCCAUCGGAGGCUGAACCACCGGUGCAGGUAUCAUCUUCAUCAUCUAAACUAUCAUUGUUGGGAACAUGGAUGCCGUUUAUUGUUUACAAUUAGAUCCAUUGGUAGCUAUUGAACCAUCUUUCUUCAAGGUGAGAACAAGUUUAUCCUAUAACUUCUUAUUUUUGUUCCACCAAACAUUCUAUUUUUGUUCCAGCAAACAUUCUUAUACUUGUAAAUUGGAGGUUGAAAACCCAAUUAAUUGAGAUGUACGAUAGAUUACGGGUCGGAGCGGUUGCAGGGGGAACAUAUCCAGCAAUUGGAGUGGAUACAACCUGGUUAAGAAACAGGGCUCGAAGGGAAUGUAUGUAGAUUCCAUGAGGUUGUUGGGGCUGUGGGGUGUGAGAGGCGGAAAGUCUUAUUUGGAGUGACCAGGAAUGACGCUACGGUGGUGGUAGUCUUGGAAGAGAUCUCCCAACAAGUCUUUUGGUUCGGAAUCUUAGUUCAUUUUGUGCAUUGUAUUGAUUUAAUAAUAUAUUGUGACAAUUUUGACAUUAUAUCUCUUGAUGGGUAUUGGGUGAGGCUUUGAAUUUGAUUCAUUUCUCAGAUUUUUUUAAUUUUCCAACAACUUGGAAGUAUUAAAUAGUUUUUUUUUUAUUAUUUUUUUACUUUAUUUGGUGUCUUUUUAUACAUGUGGAUAUUAGUACUGUGCUGAUCUCUUCAUGGAUACGUUAAUAAUUUUUUUACAUUGAAUUUGGGUUUGCUUUUCUUAGCGUAGCUACAAGUGUUA